GCUAUCCGUCGUUCGCCUGCUUCGCCCCACCGCGCUUCACUUCCUCUCGGACUCGUUGCGGCUAACUUCUUCGUUGUCGAUGUGCGUGGUCGUUGUGAGGGCUUUUGUGCGUUCGGUUGGUGCUGCUAGUUAAGCCCAGUUUCUUACUGUCUCCUGCGCCCGCCGUCGUGCCGUCCUGCCGUUUGCAUUGAGGCUGUUCGUCUGCUGCUUCACCUUCGUUGGCUCGCCGCUGUCCUGGUUGUGCUACUUGGUUCUGGUUGGAAGAGCUGCUCUGCUUCUGCAUCUGCACCUGUAGCCUGCUGCUGCUGCCUGCUACUCAAGGUUUGCUCUCCUUUUCCACUGCAUGUGCCUUGUUUAUCGCUCAACAUGUAUUUAUCUCUUGGUGCCCUGGGUUUAUGGCGUCGUCUUCUUCAACCUGAGGCUGCAUCCUGUGCUGCCGUUUCAGUUCAAGGUAGAUUUCAUUCCAUCCCUAUUCCUCUAAGCCGAGUCGUUGCACCUGUAUUCUUAAAUCCAAUCGUCUUUUCUCAGCGCCUAAGCUAGCGAAGUGGUUUAGCCUAAACUGUUUUAUAAUCUGCUAGGUAUUUCAGAGAGGACUAAACCAUGCAAAACAAAUUCAUCACAAACAUGGCUUUAGCGUGCCUCUGCGCCAUUUGGCGCAAAAAAAAACACAUUAUCCUACCCUUGUUUUUACAUCGAGGUGUAAAUAUUGAGAAGAAUAUUAUUCUCAUUGAUAGUAGUUUGAGGAGCACUACAAAGGAUCGCUGCCAAGAAUUUGAAGGAAAUGCCUUGCCAAUCUGACCCAUCACAUAACUUUGGGUUCUAUCAGUUGUGUGGCACAUACAUUUGGAAAGAAGUGAACUGUAUUUGCAACUCUAAAUAUUUCUCUCAUGCAUGUAAGUCUCAACGGCAUGUAUAUUAUGGUCUUGCUAAAUUGAUCCUAUAUCUGCCUUAUCCAUGUGUUAACUGUUUAAGAUUUGGUUGCAGUGGCCUAUAAAGAAUUUGUUGGAUUUCUAAAUUGAUCCUAUCUUUGCCUCAUCCAUGUGUUAAAUCUUUAAGAUUUUUAUGUGUGGCAUGUCAUGCACUUAUAGGAUAAUCGAGUGACCUUUCUAUUUACUUAUUUGGAAUACGACUUUCCUGAUUUUGUGCUUUCUUUGAACCCUCAUAUUUCAUGGUUGCCAUGAAUACCAAACUUUUUAAUCUUUUAGAAGAGUGCAAAUCCAUAAUAUGAUAUGAAACAUGAUAUUUUGUUAAGGCCUUUGCAUUUUAACUAUGACGGUGACCUUUGUAGUCACAUGCAUUAGUUGAAAAGCUUUUGGUUUCUCUCUUCUCUCCUGCUUAGGAAGUUUUCUUCUUUGGUUUUCCUAGGUAUUGUUUCUAAUUUUACCUACAAAGGCAAACCUUUUCAAAUCACAUCAGGUUUCAUUAUUAGAAAGGCUCUUAGUAUGGUCAAGUUUCAUGCACUUAUUUCAAGUAUCCUGCCUUGGGUGUGUGCGUGUGUUGUGGUGGCGUGCGUUUGUACCGAGUUGCUGUGGAUCGUGCUUUAUAUAUAAAGCGGGGCGGAAGCCUUUUUCAGUAAUAACUCGUGGUUUGAAAUGGGAC